CCUACGGGGGGCAGCAGUGAGGAAUAUUGGUCAAUGGCCGCAGCUCUGAACCAGCCAAGUCGCGUGAGGGAUGACGGUCCUAUGGAUUGUAAACCUCUUUUAUCAGGGGGUAAACGGAGUCACGUGUGGCUUUUUGCGAGUACCUCAUGAAUAAGCACCGGCUAAUUCCGUGCCAGCAGCCGCGGUAAUACGGAGGAUGCGAGCGUUAUCCGGAUUUAUUGGGUUUAAAGGGUGCGCAGGCGGCACGUCAAGGUGGCGGUAAAAUUUCGGGGCUCAACCCCGUCGUGCCGUGGGAACUGGGGGUCUUGAGUGAGCGGGAGGUAUGCGGAAUGCGUGGUGUAGCGGUGAAAUGCAUAGAUAUCACGCAGAACUCCGAUUGCGAAGGCAGCAUACCGGCGCGCAACUGACGCUGAGGCACGAAGGCGCGGGUAUCGAACAGGAUUAGAUACCCCAGUAGUC
rnacentral:rRNA from 1 species